rnacentral:rRNA from 1 species
CUGGCGGCGUGCUUAACACAUGCAAGUCCAACGGUGAAGAGAGAGCUUGCUUUCUUGGAUCAGUGGCGAACGGGUGAGUAACACGUGAGUAACCUGCCCCAGACUCUGGGAUAAGCACUGGAAACGGUGUCUAAUACCGGAUACGAGCUUCAGCCGCAUGGCUAGGAGUUGGAAAGAAUUUCGGUCUGGGAUGGACUCGCGGCCUAUCAGCUAGUUGGUGAGGUAAUGGCUCACCAAGGCGACGACGGGUAGCCGGCCUGAGAGGGUGACCGGCCACACUGGGACUGAGACACGGCCCAGACUCCUACGGGAGGCAGCAGUGGGGAAUAUUGCACAAUGGGCGCAAGCCUGAUGCAGCAACGCCGCGUGAGGGACGACGGCCUUCGGGUUGUAAACCUCUUUUAGUAGGGAAGAAGCGAAAGUGACGGUACCUGCAGAAAAAGCACCGGCUAACUACGUGCCAGCAGCCGCGGUAAUACGUUAGGGUGCAAGCGUUAUCCGGAAUUAUUGGGCGUUAAGAGCUCCUUGGCGGUUUGUCCGUCUGCUGUGAAAACUGGAGGCUCAACCCCCAACCUGCAAUGGGUUACNGGCAAACUAAA